ACCCGUGUCCCUUCAGUUGAUAGAGUAUGAGGCUCUUAAUCUCAGGGUUGUGGGUUCAAGUCCCAUAUUGGGCA